rnacentral:rRNA from 1 species
CCUACGGGAGGCAGCAGUGGGGAAUAUUGCACAAUGGGGGAAACCCUGAUGCAGCGACGCCGCGUGUGUGAAGAAGUAAUUCGUUACGUAAAGCUCUAGCAGCAGGGAAGAAAAUGACGGUACCUGAGUAAGAAGCCCCGGCUAACUACGUGCCAGCAGCCGCGGGAAUACGUAGGGGGCAAGCGUUAUCCGGAUUUACUGGGUGUAAAGGGGGGGUAGACGGGGGGCGAAGUCUGGAGUGAAAUGCCGCCGGUUAAAUGCGGAACUGCUUUGGAAACUGGCGAACUAGAGUGCGGGAGGGGUAAGCGGAAUUCCUAGUGUAGCGGUGAAAUGCGUAGAUAUUAGGAGGAACACCGGUGGCGAAGGCGGCUUACUGGACCGUAACUGACGUUGAGGCUCGAAAGCGUGGGGAGCAAACAGGAUUAGAUACCCGAGUAGUC